AUGAACGCUGGCGGCGUGCCUAAUCCAUGCCAGUCGAGCGAACAGACGAGGAGCUUGCUCCUCUGACGUUAGCGGCGGACGGGUGAGUAACACGUGGAUAACCUACCUAUAAGACUGGGAUAACUUCGGGAAACCGGAGCUAAUACCGGAUAAUAUAUUGAGCCGCAUGGUUCAAUAGUGAAAGACGGUUUUGCUGUCACUUAUAGAUGGAUCCGCGCCGCAUUAGCUAGUUGGUAAGGUAACGGCUUACCAAGGCGACGAUGCGUAGCCGACCUGAGAGGGUGAUCGGCCACACUGGAACUGAGACACGGUCCAGACUCCUACGGGAGGCAGCAGUAGGGAAUCUUCCGCAAUGGGCGAAAGCCUGACGGAGCAACGCCGCGUGAGUGAUGAAGGUCUUCGGAUCGUAAAACUCUGUUAUUAGGGAAGAACAAAUGUGUAAGUAACUAUGCACGUCUUGACGGUACCUAAUCAGAAAGCCACGGCUAACUACGUG
rnacentral:rRNA from 1 species